rnacentral:rRNA from 1 species
AUGGAUUCUUGGACGAAUGACACGAUCAAUUCAUGGUGCCUGCUCUUGGCAUCUGACACGACAGCAUUUCUUGGAAGGAAAAGCGAGUGUUUCCCAAAUGACGCUAAGGUCUUAAAGGAAGAUGACAAACAAACAUCUGCGGGGAAAAAUGUGCAGCUGAGGGGUUGGAUGUUGUGCAGGCAUGAGUUUUUUCCUUUUGCCCAAUCGAGCUUGGCUUUGGGAAGAAGAGAAAGGCGUUUGAUGGAGGCAGGUCCGUCCGUCCCUCAGGUGGGGAGAAGAGCCUGUGCUCCACCUGGCCAGUGA